rnacentral:pre_miRNA from 1 species
UGGAGGAACAACCGCAGUGGCGGGGCCAGCUCUGGAGCCCUGGAGUCAGCUCCCACAGUAACCCCGGAGCUCUCCUCUGCAAGGCCUGGAGGCUCCGGGGCGGG